CGGCGGCCGUAACUAUAACGGUCCUAAGGUAGCGAAAUUCCUUGUCGGUUAAAUACCGACCUGCAUGAAUGGCGUAACGAGAUGGGAGCUGUCUCAACCAGAGAUUCAGUGAAAUUGUAGUGGAGGUGAAAAUUCCUCCUACCCGCGGCAAGACGGAGAGACCCCGUGGAC
rnacentral:rRNA from 1 species